UACGAAGGGGGCUAGCGUUGCUCGGAUUGACUGGGCGUAAAGGGCGCGUAGGCGGUUUGCACAGUCAGACGUGAAAUUCCUGGGCUUAACCUGGGGGCUGCGUUUGAUACGUGCAGGCUUGAGUUCGGAAGAGGGUCGUGGAAUUCCCAGUGUAGAGGUGAAAUUCGUAGAUAUUGGGAAGAACACCGGUGGCGAAGGCGGCGACCUGGUCCGAUACUGACGUGAGGCGCGAAAGCGUGGGGAGCAAACAGG
rnacentral:rRNA from 1 species